rnacentral:rRNA from 1 species
AAAUUGAAGAGUUUGAUCAUGGCUCAGAUUGAACGCUGGCGGCAGGCCUAACACAUGCAAGUCGAACGGUAACAGAAAGCAGCUUGCUGCUUUGCUGACGAGUGGCGGACGGGUGAGUAAUGUCUGGGAAACUGCCUGAUGGAGGGGGAUAACUACUGGAAACGGUAGCUAAUACCGCAUAACGUCGCAAGACCAAAGAGGGGGACCUUAGGGCCUCUUGCCAUCGGAUGUGCCCAGAUGGGAUUAGCUAGUAGGUGGGGUAACGGCUCACCUAGGCGACGAUCCCUAGCUGGUCUGAGAGGAUGACCAGCCACACUGGAACUGAGACACGGUCCAGACUCCUACGGGAGGCAGCAGUGGGGA